CGACGGGGGCGGCGGCCGCGCGGGGCUCCGACGGGGGCGGCGGCCGCGCGGGGCUCCGACGGGGGCGGCGGCCGCGCGGCCGGUGAUAUGCUCCGAGGGUGGCUAGCUGCCCCAUGGAAGAAGCUACAAGAUAUCAACGAGCCGCUGUAAUAAAGCAGAAGUAUUUGACACUGAGAGUGUAGAGCUAUAUAGUUUCUUUUUUAUUAUGAAUGGGGUGGUGGGUAUGGGGCAGGACAGGAGGGACACACUGAAGUUCAAAAGCGAGAUGUACUAACGUACUGCUUUGGAGUUUAAGAAGCUGAAGGCAAUGAUGAAGCUCAAGAGGAGGAGAAGCUAGUGUGAUCAGUCUGCCUGCCUCUGUGAUCCCCCGCAGCACUGGCUGGAAGUCUGCCGCGUGUCAGUGAGGAGCUGCUGCAGAAGGAAGAAGAAGAAGCGGCGUGGGGACCUGGGAGGCAGGAGCAAGCAAGAAGAGGAAGCGGAAGCGUGCAGAUGCGGGGGGGAAGGAGAGAGGCUCCCUGGGCAAAGCACCUGUCCCGUUAGCAGGGGCACAGUCACGUUUGAGUUGAGAGCUGCCGGCGCCUUUGGUGACCAGGCUGGCGUUGUGCUGGGCGACCUCCCCGUAAGCGGGGCUCGGGUCUUUGCUGUAGUUGGCCUUUUGCCUUGCUGCUCCUUUGGCCUGCCUGGGGAGCGUGGCCCCCUGUAACGGAGGGCGAGAGCCACCUCUCCGCACCUGAGUGGGAAAUGGAGCUCGCCGGACCCCAAGGCCACCCUGUAAGCAGGGUAGUGCCGUUUCCCUGCCCCUCUUCCUCCCCCGGCCCCUCGGCAUCGUUGCCUGAUGGUGGCUUGUCAACGCGACGGCCCCGUACUCGGGGUGUGCGUCACGGCAUUUGGCCGUUGGCUUUAUCUGAGAAGCCCCUUGGCACGUUGAGGUCUGUGGCCUCCGUGCAGCCUAGGGACAGGUCACAGGCUCUUGUCUGUUGCCCGUGGUUGUGGGUUUAUUCCCAGGUGUUGGCUGUGCUGCGUUGUCCUUCCCUUCUGGAAAGUCGUGCCUGUGUGUGCGUGUUCCCCUUCCUUUCCUUGUUUGUGUUUGUGGAGUGGUUGAGCGGCUGUGCUUUCCCUUUAGGCCUCCACAAAAGAUGGCUGCAGCUUAGCUUUGACUUCCCAGGGGGGAAUGGAGGACUUUGGUGCAUGCCGCAAAAGGGGUGUUCCCUCUUAGUCCUGCGAGCGCAGCGAGUGUCCUGUCUUCCUACUAUCUUCCUUAGUGCAGAUCAGAGCCACAUGGUAGUUCUGUGGCCAAGGCCUCCCUGUAGCCAGGGCUUGGGCCUGUCCUUGCGUGGCCCGGCCUGUCCUGCUGGUGGCGGUGACAGCCCCGUACUCGGGGUGUGUGUCCCAAGCUUCGGAGCCCUCUGUCCCUGAGCAGCCCGCCCGCCCUGUAAUCAGGUGUGGGGAGGCUGCAGCGUUGCAGCCGGCUGCUUUAGCCAUCCAGCUGGUGGGAGUGACCCCUCCCUGUCCCGUCAGAGGGUGCAGGUUGAGGUGCUGUUUGUGUGUGGGGUGACCUCCCCGCUCGGUGGGUCGAGGUAGCUCCCUGGGCUUCCAAAGACGAGACGUUGGUGAUGUUCUGCUGCUGCCGGGCGGGCCAGCCUGUAACUCAGGCGUUGGCGGGAGCCUCGUGCUCCGCGGGGCUUCUUG
rnacentral:lncRNA from 1 species